rnacentral:rRNA from 1 species
GUCUCUGGCUCAGGAUGAACGCUAGCUACAGGCUUAACACAUGCAAGUCGAGGGGCAGCAUGGUCUUAGCUUGCUAAGGCCGAUGGCGACCGGCGCACGGGUGAGUAACACGUAUCCAACCUGCCGUCUACUCUUGGACAGCCUUCUGAAAGGAAGAUUAAUACAAGAUGGCAUCAUGAGUCCGCAUGUUCACAUGAUUAAAGGUAUUCUGGUUAGACGAUGGGGG